UACGUAGGGUGCAAGCGUUGUCCGGAAUUAUUGGGCGUAAAGAGCUCGUAGGCGGUCUGUCGCGUCGGCUGUGAAAACUUGGGGCUCAACCCCAAGCCUGCAGUCGAUACGGGCAGACUAGAGUGCGGUAGGGGAGACUGGAAUUCCUGGUGUAGCGGUGAAAUGCGCAGAUAUCAGGAGGAACACCGGUGGCGAAGGCGGGUCUCUGGGCCGUAACUGACGCUGAGGAGCGAAAGCGUGGGGAGCAAAAGGG
rnacentral:rRNA from 1 species